UCUUCCGUAGUAUAGUGGUCAGUAUAUGAGCUUGUCAUCUUAUCCCACCUCGAAAGAGGUGGGGAAGGACAUCGCUCGAGACCCGGGUUCAAUUCCCGGGGGGAGAG